UACGGGGGGGGUAAGCGUUGUUCGGAAUUACUGGGCGUAAAGCGCACGUAGGCGGAUUGUUAAGUCGGGGGUGAAAUCCUGGAGCUCAACUCCAGAACUGCCUUCGAAACUGGCGAUCUUGAGUUCGGGAGAGGUGAGUGGAACUGCGAGUGUAGAGGUGAAAUUCGUAGAUAUUCGCAAGAACACCAGUGGCGAAGGCGGCUCACUGGCCCGAUACUGACGCUGAGGUGCGAAAGCGUGGGGAGCAAACAGG
rnacentral:rRNA from 1 species